rnacentral:rRNA from 1 species
ACGGCUCAGUAACACGUGGCUAAUCUGCCCUUGGGACCGGAACACCCCCGGGAAACUGGGGCUAAUUCUCGAUAGGUGAAGAACUCUGGAAUGAGUCUUUGCCCAAAAGACGUUUACGUUAUGCUCGUGGGCGUCGCCCAAGGAUGAGGCCGCGACCGAUCAGGUUGUUGGUGUGGUAAUGGCUCACCAAGCCUUUUACCGGUGCGGGCCGUGAGAGCGGGAGCCCGGAGAUGGGCACUGAGACAAGGGCCCAGGCCCUACGGGGCGCAGCAGUCGCGAAAACUUUGCAAUACACGAAAGUGUGACAGGGCUAUCCCGAGUGCCAUCCGCUGAGGAAGGCUUUUACCCAGUCUAGAACGCUGGGGGAAUAAGGAGAGGGCAAGUCUGGUGUCAGCCGCCGCGGUAAUACCAGCUCUCCGAGUGGUGUGGAUGUUUAUUGGGCCUAAAGCAUCCGUAGCUGGCUAAGUUAGUCCCUUGUUAAAUCCAACGAAUCAAUCGUUGGAUUGCGGGGGAUACUGCUUGGCUAGGGGACGAGAGAGGCAGACGGUAUUUCCGGGGUAGGGGUGAAAUCCUAUAAUCUCGGGAAGACCACCAGUGGCGAAGGCUGUCUGCUAGAACGCGCCCGACGGUGAGGGAUGAAAGCUGGGGGAGCGAACCGGAUUAGAUACCCGGGUAGUCCCAGCUGUAAACGAUGCAGGCUAGGUGUUUGGACGGCCACGUGCCGUUCUAGUGCCGCAGGGAAGCUGUUAAGCCUGCCGCCUGGGGAGUACGAUCGCAAGAUUGAAACUUAAAGGAAUUGGCGGGGGAGCAC